rnacentral:rRNA from 1 species
GACAGAGGAGCCAAGCGUUGUCCGGAUUCACUGGGCGUAAAGGGUGCGUAGGUGGUGGGGUAAGUCUCGUGUGAAAGCUCGCAGCUUAACUGCGAAAAGUCACGGGAUACUAUUCCGCUGGAGGCUUGGAGGGGGGACUGGAAUACUUGGUGUAGCAGUGAAAUGCGUAGAUAUCAAGUGGAACACCAGUGGCGAAGGCGAGUCCCUGGACAAGACCUGACACUGAGGCACGAAAGCCAGGGGAGCAAACAGG